UCCGGUGACCUUGGCGGAGGGGCCACACCCGUUCCCAUUCCGAACACGGUAGUUAAGACCUCCAGCGCCGAUGGUACUGCUUGGGCGACCUUGUGGAAGAGUAGGACGUUGCCGGAA
rnacentral:rRNA from 1 species